GGAAAGAAUUAUUUUUAUCAUUCUUAAUUUGCCAAUCAAAACUAAUAUCAUGGGGUUGGAAAAGAAUAGCUACAAAAACGUGAAACACAAGUACAGUAGAGUAAAAAUAAACUGAAAUGAAAAAGCUAACCGCAUUUCUCAUUUGAGAUUUUUCACCACGUGAUUCUGGAAAGAGCUCACGGCUUCGCAACAACAAUACCAACUCGUACGUGGGUUUACGGUUCGGUACAGAUUUUUCGAUUCAGAUGAUGAUGAUAAUGGAAUAUGGCAAUGAAAAUAAGUUGAAGAUUCAAGAUGAAAUGGUGAUGGUGAAAGUUAAAGUUUGGUUAUGUGAUUUUGGUGAUUUGGAGGAGAUGAAGACUUGUUCAAGGUUGAAAGUUGAUUGAAGAAUGGUGAAUAAUUUUUGAUUUUUUGGUGAAUAGUAAUUAUGGAAGAAUAAAGAAGAUUGGGAAAGAUGCUUGAAAAAUGGUUCAUGGUUGAAGGUUAGAAGUGAAGACUUGAAGUUUGGUUAUGGUAUAGUUUGGAAAAUGGAAAUUUUGUGAAAUGUCAUUUUUGUGGUUAUUUUUGUGUAAACAGAGAUCGUAAAAUGUGAUUAGUCCUUUCAUGGUGAAAAUGGUGAAGUUUAAAUAGAAAAAAAACAGAAGGAAAAGUUAGUUAUGGAAGAUGAUUCAUAGCUAUUGGAUAGUGGUCCUUGUGAUGUUUUUUAAGAGUGGCUAGAAUUGAAUUGUGUUAGUUUGGAGGGAUUAAGGUAGUUAUGGAUAGUUAGAAAUGAAAUGCAAAUGAAAUAUAAAUUUUGUGUUUGUUUGAAAUGAAAAUGAAUUUCAUUUGGUUUACCUG